rnacentral:rRNA from 1 species
GUGGGGAAUAUUGGACAAUGGGGGGAACCCUGAUCCAGCCAUGCCGCGUGUGUGAAGAAGGCCUUUUGGUUGUAAAGCACUUUAAGCGAGGAGGAGGCUACCGAGAUUAAUACUCUUGGAUAGUGGACGUUACUCGCAGAAUAAGCACCGGCUAACUCUGUGCCAGCAGCCGCGGUAAUACAGAGGGUGCAAGCGUUAAUCGGAUUUACUGGGCGUAAAGCGCGCGUAGGUGGCCAAUUAAGUCAAAUGUGAAAUACCCGAGCUUAACUUGGGAAUUGCAUUCGAUACUGGUUGGCUAGAGUAUGGGAGAGGAUGGUAGAAUUCCAGGUGUAGCGGUGAAAUGCGUAGAGAUCUGGAGGAAUACCGAUGGCGAAGGCAGCCAUCUGGCCUAAUACUGACACUGAGGUGCGAAAGCAUGGGGAGCAAACAGGAUUAGAUACCCUAGUAGUCC